rnacentral:rRNA from 1 species
GGGCGAACGCUGGCGGCGUGCCUACUACAUGCAAGUCGAACGCUGAAGGAGGAGCUUGCUUCUCUGGAUGAGUUGCGAACGGGUGAGUAACGCGUAGGUAACCUGCCUGGUAGCGGGGGAUAACUAUUGGAAACGAUAGCUAAUACCGCAUAAGAGUAGAUGUCGCAUGACAUUUGCUUAAAAGGUGCAAUUGCAUCACUACCAGAUGGACCUGCGUUGUAUUAGCUAGUUGGUGAGGUAACGGCUCACCAAGGCAACGAUACAUAGCCGACCUGAGAGGGUGAUCGGCCACACUGGGACUGAGACACGGCCCAGACUCCUACGGGAGGCAGCAGUAGGGAAUCUUCGGCAAUGGACGGAAGUCUGACCGAGCAACGCCGCGUGAGUGAAGAAGGUUUUCGGAUCGUAAAGCUCUGUUGUAAGAGAAGAACGAGUGUGAGAGUGGAAAGUUCACACUGUGACGGUAUCUUACCAGAAAGGGACGGCUAACUACGUG